rnacentral:rRNA from 1 species
AAUAGUCCUGUAUGUUAAACGAGAAGACUUCAGAUAUGAUCCAGAGUACCACGGGACACGUGAAACCCUGUGGGAAGCAGGAGGGACCACCCUCCAAGGCUAAAUACUACCUAGUGACCGAUAGCGUAUAGUACCGUGAGGGAAAGGUGAAAAGAACCCCGGGAGGGGAGUGAAAUAGAACCUGAAACCCUGCACUUACAAGCUGUGGAAGCACAUUUCUUGUGUGACCGCGUACUUUUUGUAGAACGGGCCAACGAGUUACGUUAAGUAGCAAGGUUAAGCACUUAAGGUGCGGAGCCGUAGCGAAAGCGAGUUUUAACUGAGCGUUCAGUUACUUGACGUAGACCCGAAACCGGGCGACCUACCCAUGAGCAGGAUGAAGCGAAAGUAAAAUUUCGUGGAGGUCCGAACCCACGAGCGUUGAAAAGCUCGGGGAUGACUUGUGGGUAGCGGUGAAAUUCCAAUCGAGCCCGGAGAUAGCUGGUUCUCCCCGAAAUAGCUUUAGGGCUAGCCUCAAGGUGAGAGAUACGGAGGUAGAGCACUGAAUGUCCUAGGGGGUAUUGCACCUACCGAAGACUAUCAAACUCCGAAUGCCGUCAUCUUAUACUUGGGAGUCAGACUGUGGGUGAUAAGAUUCAUAGUCGAAAGGGCAACAGCCCAGAUCGUCAGCUAAGGUCCCUAAAUGUAAGUUAAGUGGUAAAGGAUGUGGGAUUGCACAGACAACCAGGAUGUUGGCUUAGAAGCAGCCACUCAUUCAAAGAGUGCGUAAUAGCUCACUGGUCGAGUGAUCCUGCGCCGAAGAUUUCCGGGGCUAAAACUUACUACCGAAGCUACGGCAUCAGUAAUGAUGGGUAGGGGAGCUUCCCAUACGGGUUGAAGCAUGACCGUAAGGACAUGUGGACAGUAUGGGAGUGAGAAUGUUGGCAUGAGUAGCGAGAUGUGGGUGAGAAUCCCACAGGCCGUAAACCCAAGGUUUCCAGGGGAAGGUUCGUCCGCCCUGGGUUAGUCGGGACCUAAGCUGAGGCCGAAAGGCGUAGG